rfam:Myotis davidii contig164402, whole genome shotgun sequence.
GGCGGUUCUCAGGUGAUGCACCCCCAAAUCAAGCUCCCUCCUCUCUGGUUCCGGGGUGCGUCACCUGAGAACUGCC